CGAGGUCACAUAGCUCUCUCCCGUGCCAGCGCUGCGCAUGCGUAGUGGUGCGGACUGAGGUCGGAAGGGUGGCUGGGCCGGUAUGCGGUCGUGGCCGCGGUUAGCGGUACCCAAGGGAGGCCCUCCGAGGAACGAGGCGGAGUCGCUUGGCCCGAGGGAAAUAGGUGUUCUCCUUACAGAAUACUCAGUAAUGCGUACUACCUGGCUCGGUCCGAAAGGGGUACACCUGGAUAGUCCGUCCCAAAACAGCCACGGGGAACAGUUGCUCAAGUUUUGUCGUAAAUCGUGCGGUUUUAAAUGCGUCGCUGUAGUCCUUUAUGCAUGAGUUGGAAACAAAUAGGAGCAUUCUGCUUGAAUAGAUAAUUAGUAUUUCUGUAGAAAAUUUUUAACAUCUGUUCGUAUUUUGUCAAGCUUUAUCUGCCUCCUGAGAAACCUAGGAGGGUUGCAAGAUGAUUUGAGCUGGAAGGAUCUGUAUGGAUAAUGUCAUUCCAAGCCUGUGCCAUGUCAGGGACACCUUUCAUCAGAACAGGUUGCUUAGAGUCCUGUCCAGUCUGGCCUUCCAGGGAUGGAGUUUCCAUCCAGUUUCCCUCACCACGCUCACAGUGCUCCAGUCCUGUGAUCACCUUUGCAGACCUCAUCUGGACUCACUCCAGGAGGUUCCUGCCUUUCUUGUGCUGAGUACGCCAGAGCUGGACACAAAACCCCAGGUGAAGGUCUCAGGAGGUCAGAACCGACCUUCUCAUCCUUCAAUCCUCCUCCUCGUCCUUCCAUCUGCUGACCAGGCUGGUUAGGAUGCAGCCUGGGACAUGGUUGUCUUUCUGUGCUCCGCAUGCAACUGGUAGGCUCAUGUCCAGCUUUUCGUCCGCCAGAACCUUGAAAGAAGGAUCUCUGCAGGGCAGCUCACAGUGAAUCUAAAUCUUGCUUCACACACAAAUCCCUAGGGAAAGCUAAUGUAGUGAGGUCUCAACAACUAUCAGGAAGUUACAAACUCUCUAAUUCUGACAUUUUAAAUUCUUCCUUUGAAUUAUGUCGCAGCUAAAAAACCACCAAAAGUAACUCAAAAUCACAUUCUAAAACAGUAGAACAAAUAGAUUGCAAAGGAAAUCCUCUCUGAUACUAGAGAUUAUACCGCCAAAGACAAGAUGAUUCUGAGCUAUUUAAACCAUUCAAUUUUAGUCAGCAAGUAGGUCUUUGGCCUUCAAAUUUAUUAAUGCUAAUUUGGUCACAUUUAUGGGAAAUGUUGCAUGUCAAGAAAAUAACAAAUUCUAAAGGCAUUUGUUCUACUCCAUGUGUUUCUUGCAUGCAGAAUACUAAAGAAAAUCAGUAAGCUCUUUAAAAGGCAAAGUUACAACAAAAAGGUAUCAAUCUUACUGCAGAGAUGGUAAGACAUGAGAUGCAUUUGGAGACCAACUGAUUUGAGGCAUGUUUACUUGUGGAGGUAAGAGUCUCAAAAAUGUUUUAAACAAAAUUCUUAAUCUGGAACUCUUUGGCAUAAGAUUUCAUCACUGAUACAAAUUGGUGGCAUUUUAUGAAAAAUAAUCAAAAUUGGAAGUGAGCAGAAUUGUUUAAUUAACUGAAACAAGAAUUAGCUUGAACUCUAACAAUCACAAUUUCAGAGCUCUAGUAUUUUAAUUCUAGUGUUGUUUGAAUUUGUAUUUCACACAACGAAGACAAGGCCAAAGUUGUUCUAAUCACUAUGGAAAAAUGUAUUUUUGGAUGGAUGUAUAUGGGCUGAGUGGACCUUUGCAGCAGCGAGGUAAAGAAAACUGCCCUGUGCGUUACUGCCAAACACCACUACUGGUACAAACACGAUCUGACCUGUGAAGUUGCUCUCUUGAGUCCUCUUGUCUCAAAGAGCGAGUAAGUUUUAAGAAAAGCAUUAAAGGAGACACAUUUUUACUGCGUGUGCCAGCUAAAUACAAGGCAGUCUUAAGCUGGAGGUUUAUGCCUCAUUAUUCAGAAUCUAUGAAAGUACAUAGUUUUAAUACAUUGGUUCACACAACUAAGCUAUGCACACAAUAUUGAUGCAUGCAUGCACCUCUAUAAGCAUAGAAAAGUUAAUGCUCUCUAAAUGUGCUAUUUCAAAUGAAACACAACAUAAAACAGACAAAUCAAAUAUAUCACUGCUAAAACUAGGCACUCCUCAUUUUAUCUACUGUGUGACAUUUAAGUCAUUACUGCUCUGUUCAAUUAACUUGAAAUUAUGCUUUCUGAUAGCAUUUUUUUCCCCUAAAAAAUCAUGUUACUGAGCAAGUGCCUUCUUGCUGAGCAGUUCAUUAGUGCUAAAAGGUGUGUUGUGAUUUGAUUUAACCACUAUUAAAAGCAGAUAAAACCACUUGUUAAAAGAACUUAAAAAUACAUGUCUCUGAUGGUAGUGUUUCAUUUUAAAAAGCACAGAGACGUUUUGAUGCAUUUUUCUUUGUAUUGUGUCUUGAGGCUUCAUGUACAUUGUUUUAAUAUACAGUAAAGUAUCUUACAAACAAAGUCAUAACAGCAUAAUCAGAACAUAACUAUAUCAGCAAUGGGCUGGUACAUGCUGCGGUGUCCCAGAGUGGCAUUUGUGUGUAAAAAAUCUUGUCCUGAGUCACCGGGCUAGAAACUGGCAAAGCAUUCCAGAUGUGUAAUGCAAAAAAAAGGGGAAGUUCUUUGGGAUGUUGUUACUCAGUAGUAGAUGAUGAGUGGACUGCAAUCUGCAGUGCAGUUGGGGAAAAGAUCUUGUGUUUGUGUGCAGGAGCUGGACCACUGAAGGUCUUGCAGGUCAGAACCAGAAUUCUAAAAUUAAUCUUCUGCUUCUCAGAGAAGCAGUGUAGUGGGCAGAGUAACUCUGGUAUGUUGAAGGCUUGGAAGCAAGCUAGCAAUCUGUCAGGAGCAUUCUUUAAAUACUUGGGGAUGGUGCCACAAGCCUUUUUCUCAGUUCCUCAGGCAUACUUAGGAAGUAUAUCCCAAGCACUUGUAAGUAUUACAAACAUAUUAAACAAACAAACAAACAAAACACUGACUAGAAGAAUAUUCUCCAUCUACAAAUCAGAAUAUAAAGGCAGCAUUUGUAAGACUCAGGACUAGGGAUUCUCCAGCCCCUCUUGAUGCUCUGAUCACAUACCUCUCAUUCCUUACAAGAAUGUUGAUUUGUUCAGCUCUAAACCAUAGCAGGGGCCCCAAAUAGACUGACCAUGAGUGGGUGGUGAUCAGGUAAUUACUUAUUCUAGUCCCAUGCUGUCAAAGGGGAGAUGAGGGUCAGGAUGCAAGUUCUGCACCCCCUCCCAGUCCCUCUGACCUCAAGGUCAGUGAUGAAUUUUUUACCUUUCUAUGCUUUCAGGGAAGGGAACAGGUGAGGCUUAGUCAGCUUUGUACAGAGGGCUGCAUGCACAGAAAACCAAGCAGCCUCUCAUUUUUUUCUGUUGUUUCUGUCUACCUUUCAAUGCAUAAACAAAUCAUAUGUGCAGUCCUUUCUUCAGAAAAAUUCCCAAAAGGCUAGCACUGGGAAAUCUGUCGCACAGUCAGCCCUGAAGAAGUUAGCUCUUGUUGUAGUGCAAAGCACUGCACUAAUAAACUGCUGUCUAAUAAGUGAGAGUUAAUAAAAUGAAGUGGUAAACCAACAUGUGAGUUAUGAAGAUCAUCUAUCACUAAUGGGUGUUAUCUAGUGUCCCAUAGAUGCUCAAUAUAUGUUGUUUAUAUCAAAUAAUAAAGUCUUGUGUCAGUAGCAUUAACUGGAGAUGGUGUUCUGUGAUCAUAGAAUAAAAGCUAUCAAGGAGUUUUGUUUAUUGUA